GAUGAACGCUGGCGGCAUGCCUAAGACAUGCAAGUCGAACGAGGUGUACCUUUGAAGUUGGAGUACUUGUACAAAGAUGGAAAAGGAUUCGCACCUAGUGGCAGACGGGUGAGUAACACGUGGGUAACCUACCUCAUAGACUGGGAUAACUAUUGGAAACGAUAGCUAAUACCGGAUGAAACUUCUUGCAAAAGUGAGAAAGUUAAAAGGAGCUUCGGCUUCACUAAGAGAUGGGCUUGCGGUGUAUUAGCUAGUUGGUGAGGUAAUGGCUCACCAAGGCAACGAUGCAUAUCCGAGCUGAGAGGCUGAUCGGACACACUGGGACUGAGACACGGCCCAGACUCCUACGGGAGACAGCAGUUAGGAAUAUUCGUCAAUGGGGGAAACCCUGAACGAGCAAUGCCGCGUGAGUGAUGAAGGUCUUACAGAUUGUAAAACUCUGUUGUAAAGGAAGAAACCUUACUAUAGGAAAUGAUGGUAAGCUGACGGUACUUUACCAGAAAGCCCCGGCUAACUACGUGCCAGCAGCCGCGGUAAUACGUAGGGGGCGAGCGUUAUC
rnacentral:rRNA from 1 species